rnacentral:rRNA from 1 species
GAUCAUGGCUCAGGAUGAACGCUAGCGGCAGGCUUAACACAUGCAAGUCGAGGGGUAGAGGAAGCUUGCUUCCUUGAGACCGGCGCACGGGUGCGUAACGCGUAUGCAAUCUACCUUAUACAGGGGGAUAGCCCAGAGAAAUUCGGAUUAAUACCCCAUAGUAUAAUUGAAUGGCAUCAUUUAAUUAUUAAAGUUCCAACGGUAUAAGAUGAGCAUGCGUCCCAUUAGCUAGUUGGUGUGGUGACGGCACACCAAGGCGACGAUGGGUAGGGGUCCUGAGAGGGAGAUCCCCCACACUGGUACUGAGACACGGACCAGACUCCUACGGGAGGCAGCAGUGAGGAAUAUUGGUCAAUGGGCGCAAGCCUGAACCAGCCAUGCCGCGUGCAGGAUGACGGUCCUAUGGAUUGUAAACUGCUUUUUGUACAGGAAGAAACACUCCCUCGUGAGGGAGCUUGACGGUACUGUAAGAAUAAGGAUCGGCUAACUCCGUG